rnacentral:rRNA from 1 species
AUAAUGGGUCAGCGACUUAUAUUCUGUAGCAAGGUUAACCGAAUAGGGGAGCCGAAGGGAAACCGAGUCUUAACUGGGCGUUAAGUUGCAGGGUAUAGACCCGAAACCCGGUGAUCUAGCCAUGGGCAGGUUGAAGGUUGGGUAACACUAACUGGAGGACCGAACCGACUAAUGUUGAAAAAUUAGCGGAUGACUUGUGGCUGGGGGUGAAAGGCCAAUCAAACCGGGAGAUAGCUGGUUCUCCCCGAAAGCUAUUUAGGUAGCGCCUCGUGAAUUCAUCUCCGGGGGUAGAGCACUGUUUCGGCAAGGGGGUCAUCCCGACUUACCAACCCGAUGCAAACUGCGAAUACCGGAGAAUGUUAUCACGGGAGACACACGGCGGGUGCUAACGUCCGUCGUGAAGAGGGAAACAACCCAGACCGCCAGCUAAGGUCCCAAAGUCAUGGUUAAGUGGGAAACGAUGUGGGAAGGCCCAGACAGCCAGGAUGUUGGCUUAGAAGCAGCCAUCAUUUAAAGAAAGCGUAAUAGCUCACUGGUCGAGUCGGCCUGCGCGGAAGAUGUAACGGGGCUAAACCAUGCACCGAAGCUGCGGCAGCGACGCUGAUGCGUUGUUGGGUAGGGGAGCGUUCUGUAAGCCUGUGAAGGUGUGCUGUGAGUCAUGCUGGAGGUAUCAGAAGUGCGAAUGCUGACAUAAGUAACGAUAAAGCGGGUGAAAAGCCCGCUCGCCGGAAGACCAAGGGUUCCUGUCCAACGUUAAUCGGGGCAGGGUGAGUCGACCCCUAAGGCGAGGCCGAAAGGCGUAGUCGAUGGGAAACAGGUUAAUAUUCCUGUACUUGGUGUUACUGCGAAGGGGGGACGGAGAAGGCUAUGUUGGCCGGGCGACGGUUGUCCCGGUUUAAGCGUGUAGGCUGGUUUUCCAGGCAAAUCCGGAAAAUCAAGGCUGAGGCGUGAUGACGAGGCACUACGGUGCUGAAGCAACAAAUGCCCUGCUUCCAGGAAAAGCCUCUAAGCAUCAGGUAACAUCAAAUCGUACCCCAAACCGACACAGGUGGUCAGGUAGAGAAUACCAAGGCGCUUGAGAGAACUCGGGUGAAGGAACUAGGCAAAAUGGUGCCGUAACUUCGGGAGAAGGCACGCUGAUAUGUAGGUGAAGUCCCUCGCGGAUGGAGCUGAAAUCAGUCGAAGAUACCAGCUGGCUGCAACUGUUUAUUAAAAACACAGCACUGUGCAAACACGAAAGUGGACGUAUACGGUGUGACGCCUGCCCGGUGCCGGAAGGUUAAUUGAUGGGGUCAGCGCAAGCGAAGCUCUUGAUCGAAGCCCCGGUAAACGGCGGCCGUAACUAUAACGGUCCUAAGGUAGCGAAAUUCCUUGUCGGGUAAGUUCCGACCUGCACGAAUGGCGUAAUGAUGGCCAGGCUGUCUCCACCCGAGACUCAGUGAAAUUGAACUCGCUGUGAAGAUGCAGUGUACCCGCGGCAAGACGGAAAGACCCCGUGAACCUUUACUAUAGCUUGACACUGAACAUUGAGCCUUGAUGUGUAGGAUAGGUGGGAGGCUUUGAAGUGUGG